rnacentral:rRNA from 1 species
UACGUAGGGUGCAAGCGUUGUCCGGAAUUAUUGGGCGUAAAGAGUUCGUAGGCGGCUUGUCGCGUCGGCUGUGAAAACUCGGGGCUCAACCCCGAGCCUGCAGUCGAUACGGGCAUCACUGGAGUUCGGCAGGGGAGACUGGAAUUCCUGGUGUAGCGGUGAAAUGCGCAGAUAUCAGGAGGAACACCGGUGGCGAAGGCGGGUCUCUGGGCCGAUACUGACGCUGAGGAGCGAAAGCGUGGGGAGCGAACAGG